GUCUCUGUAGCUUACGAUCAA
rnacentral:tRNA from 1 species